UACGUAGGUCCCGAGCGUUGUCCGGAUUUAUUGGGCGUAAAGCGAGCGCAGGUGGUUUAUUAAGUCUGGUGUAAAAGGCAGUGGCUCAACCAUUGUGUGCAUUGGAAACUGGUAGACUUGAGUGCAGGAGAGGAGAGUGGAAUUCCAUGUGUAGCGGUGAAAUGCGUAGAUAUAUGGAGGAACACCGGUGGCGAAAGCGGCUCUCUGGCCUGUAACUGACACUGAGGCUCGAAAGCGUGGGGAGCAGACAGG
rnacentral:rRNA from 1 species